rnacentral:rRNA from 1 species
CCUACGGGAGGCUGCAGUGAGGAAUAUUGGUCAAUGGACGAGAGUCUGAACCAGCCAAGUAGCGUGAAGGAUGACUGCCCUAUGGGUUGUAAACUUCUUUUAUAUGGGAAUAAAAUGUUCCACGUGUGGGAUUUUGUAUGUACCAUAUGAAUAAGGCUCGGCUAACUCCGUGCCAGCAGCCGCGGUAAUACGGAGGAUCCGAGCUUUAUCCGGAUUUAUUGGGUUUACAGGGAGCGUAGGUGGAUUGGUAAGUCAGUUGUGAAAGUUUGCGGCUCAACCGUAAAAUUGCAGUUGAAACUGGCAGUCUUGAGUACAGUAGAGGUGGGCGGAAUUCGUGGUGUAGCGGUGAAAUGCUUAGAUAUCACGAAGAACUCCGAUUGCGAAGGCAGUUCACUGGACUGCAACUGACACUGAGGCUCGAAAGUGUGGGUAUCAAACAGGAUUAGAUACCCCAGUAGUC